rnacentral:lncRNA from 1 species
GCCGAAUUCUGCACCAACACUAAUUAUUUCCAUUGGACUAAGGGGUAUUUUUAUUCCUCAAUUUCAAUUCAAGAUCACUAUCCUAGGGUGAUUUUAGAUACUUGAUUUCAAGGAUGAGUUUUCCAUCACUAGAUUGGAUGGAGGCUUGAGGGAUAAUGGUGAUUUAGGAUUGAUGUCAUAUAAGAUCAUCAUAGUAUAACCAAUCUAUUCACUUUCAUCCACAUUAUUUUAGAUC